CUUGUCUUCAGGAUCACUUGCAUAAUCAGAAGGUGAAAGAUCCCCAGACAUUUGAGAAGCAACUUUCAAAACCAUUGGAUUUCUUGCAAUAGAUGAAAUACUAAACCUUUAGAAUCUUUCGACAUCCAGCAAUGUACCUUACAGAAACUUCUAGAAGCGAGGGACCAGCAUCGCCGAACGACGGCCCGGUCCGAUCGAGCCUCCGAUUCCCAAUCGCCCGGCGAUUCGCAAUGGAGCAAGCGGCGAUCGACGGGGCGCCGCGGGCAUUACCGGCGGAGGAACCGAAAACCCGCCCCGGGCGGGAGGGGCGGGCGCGGGCGGGCGGGCGGGCGGCGGCGGGGGGCUGCGGGGCGGGGAGCGGCUGGAGAAUCAGAGGCCGGAGGGGGUAGGGGGGAGUGCGCGCGCGGAGUAAAGGAUUUCGCCGGCGAGCGAGAGAGAGAGAGAGAGAGAGAGAGAGUUUUUGCGUGGGAGAGAGGUGAGUACUCGCAGUUGGUGGGUUUGAAGCUGCGGAGAGAGAGGAAAA